rnacentral:rRNA from 1 species
AUUGAACGCUGGCGGCAUGCCUUACACAUGCAAGUCGAACGGCAGCAUGGAGAGCUUGCUCUCUGAUGGCGAGUGGCGAACGGGUGAGUAAAGCAUCGGAACGUACCGCGUAGUGGGGGAUAACGUAGCGAAAGUUACGCUAAUACCGCAUACGCACUGAGGUGGAAAGCAGGGGAUCGCAAGACCUUGCGCUAUACGAGCGGCCGAUGUCAGAUUAGCUAGUUGGUAGGGUAAAGGCCUACCAAGGCGACGAUCUGUAGCGGGUCUGAGAGGAUGGGCGGCCACACUGCGACUGGGCGCGGUCCCAGAGUCCUACGGGAGGUAGGAGUGGAGAACUUUGGACAAUGGGGGCAACCGUGAUCCGGCAAUGCCGCGUGAGUGAAGAAGGCCUUCGGGUUGUAAAGCUCCUUCGGCCGGGAAGAAAUCGCACAGGCUAAUACUCUGUGUGGAUGACGGUACCGACAUAAGAAGCACCGGCUAACUGCGUGCCAGCCGCCGCGGUAA